rnacentral:rRNA from 1 species
CCUACGGGAGGCUGCAGUGAGGAAUAUUGGUCAAUGGCCGCAGGGCUGAACCAGCCAAGUCGCGUGAGGGAUGACGGUCCUAUGGAUUGUAAACCUCUUUUGUCUGGGAGCAAAGUGCGCCACGUGUAGCGCUUUUCGAGUACCUGAAGAAAAAGCAUCGGCUAACUCCGUGCCAGCAGCCGCGUUAAUACGGAGGAUGCUAGCGUUAUCCGGAUUUAUUGGGUUUAAAGGGUGCGCGGGUGGAAUGUCAAGUCAGCGGUAAAAUUUCGGGGCUCAACCCCGUCGUGCCGUUGAAACUGGCGGUCUUGAGUGAGCGAGAGGUAUGCGGAAUGCGUGGUGUAGCGGUGAAAUGCAUAGAUAGCACGCAGAACUCCGAUUGCGAAGGCAGCAUACCGGCGUUCAACUGACGCUCAUGCACGAAAGCGUGGGUAUCGAACAGGAUUAGAUACCCGGGUAGUC